GUCGGAGUUCCGGGCAGCUGCACCCCACGCGGACGAGGAUGGGUGCCGGUGUCCAGUGGAACUAUGGUCCCUGGGCUCGACGGGCUGAUGGACCUGGUUCGAGGGUCUGUGUCGAGUUCCACUUGGGCCAGAUACUCGAAGGUAUGGGCGGAAUGGCUCGAGUGGGAGUCAGGUCUGGGGGUUUUCCAGGAUACGCCCGCUCGAUUGCGGGGCUUGUUGCAGCUAUUGAACACUUGGGUGUCGGCGGGCAUGUCGCCUUCGGCGGUGUCCUCGCGCCUGGCUGGGCUGAGUUUUUUCUUUAAGCUGCAAGGGUGGGGGGACAUGACCAAGGAGUUUGUGGUGAGGCAGGCGGUUAAGGGGCUGCGUAGG
rnacentral:lncRNA from 1 species